AGUGAACGCUGGCGGCGUGCCUAAUACAUGCAAGCCGAACGGAGAUUAAGUAGCUUGCUAUUUAAUCUUAGUGGCGCACGGGUGAGUAAUAUAUAGCUAACUUGCCCAUUACUAAGGGACAACAGUUGGAAACGACUGCUAAUACCUUAUACUCCGUAUCUAUAUAAGUAAAUACGGGAAAGUUUUUCGGUAAUGGAUAGGGCUAUAUCGUAUCAGCUAGUUGGUAAGGUAACGGCUUACCAAGGCUAUGACGCGUAACUGGUCUGAGAGGAUGAUCAGUCACACUGGAACUGAGACACGGUCCAGACUCCUACGGGAGGCAGCAGUAGGGAAUAUUGCUCAAUGGGGGAAACCCUGAAGCAGCAACGCCGCGUGGAGGAUGACACUUUUCGGAGCGUAAACUCCUUUUCUUGUGAAAGAAUUAGGACGGACCCAAGGAAUAAGCACCG
rnacentral:rRNA from 1 species